AUUGAACGCUGGCGGCAUGCCUUACACAUGCAAGUCGAACGGUAACAGGUCUUCGGAUGCUGACGAGUGGCGAACGGGUGAGUAAUACAUCGGAACGUGCCUAGUAGUGGGGGAUAACUACUCGAAAGAGUGGCUAAUACCGCAUGAGAUCUACGGAUGAAAGCAGGGGAUCGCAAGACCUUGUGCUACUAGAGCGGCCGAUGGCAGAUUAGGUAGUUGGUGGGAUAAAAGCUUACCAAGCCGACGAGCUGUAGCUGGUCUUAGAGGACGAUCAGCCACACUGGGACGGAGACACCGACCAGACUCCUACGGGAGUCAGCAGUGGGGAAUUUUGGACAAUGGACGCAUGCCUGAUCCAGCAAUGCCGCGUGCAGGAUGAAGGCCUUCGUGUUGUAAACUUCUUUUGUACGGAACGAAACGCCCCGGGUUAAUACCCUGGGGUCAUGACGGUACCGUAAGAAUAAGCACCGGCUAACUACGUGCCAGCCGCCGCGGUAA
rnacentral:rRNA from 1 species